UAUCAACCCAAUUAAUUUACCAGGUCUACCACGUGUUCUAAAUUGGUUAGACAUUAUUCCCAUUUGAAUUGCCUUCACUCCUGAGUCUCUGAGUGUCAGGUUCAAGCUGCUGACCGACGAGGUUCCUUAUGCUUGCGAACCAGUUAGAUUCUAUACACAUAUGAAUCUUCCCCAUAUUCGAAUAUCUGAAUGUCAGACUCAAGCUGAUGAUAUAUGAGGUAUGGUCCCCGCUGUAUCAAUCAAGUCCCAUUGAAAUAUUAAAACGUUGUUCAUACAUCUUUGAAUGACCUUUUAUGUGCUGACAAUAUGUUCUGAAAUGAAGAGAUUUUACCCCUGAUGAAGUCUUGGAACAAGACGAAACGCGUUGGGUUAUUUAUCUAUCUAUUAUCUGAUGUUACCUCCG